AUGGUAGUUUCUUUUGCUGGGCUGCACCAUUUUAUUUCUAAUGGAGCAAUGGUAAAUGUACUCAACUUAGAGCCAAAUCCAAAUUACCUAAAUGUCAAUUGCCUACCUGAUGGCUGUGAACAACAGAAAGAAGAAACAAAGACAUACCUGUAUAUAAAGGUUGAGCUUGAAAAAAGAAAACUACUCUUGACGCUGAAGAACGCAAUCCAACAUGAAAGAAUGCUUAUUUCAGGUUUUACCUGAAUCUACCUAGGGCUGAAUUUCUUAUCUAUACUUUACUACAGAUAUUCUGCUUUGUGCAGAUCUACAAUGGAUCAUUAAAGUCAAAGGACAAUUAUUUGUCUUUCUACUCCUCCCAGUACCCAAGACCUGAGAGUGAGAUAUUAAAUUCAUCCUUAGAUCUUUCAUGCAAUGUUACAGCUCUUUGGAACUCCUCAUGAAGCUCCUCCUCUCCAUGGUGGAAUUUUACUCUGAGGAGAGAUAGGCUAAAAUGUGGUGGAAUUUUACUCUGAGGAGAGAUAGGCUAAAAUGUUUCAGUCCCCUAUAUGAUAAGUCCAAAAUCACUGUUUCACAUAUAUGCUGACCUGAUACAUUGAGCCAUUGAUACAUGUCUUUCC
rnacentral:lncRNA from 1 species